AUUGAACGCUGGCGGCAGGCCUAACACAUGCAAGUCGAACGAGUGGCGGACGGGUGAGGAAUACCUCGGACCCUACUCUGUCGCGGGGGAUCACGUAGGGAAACUUACGCUCCUACCGCAUACGAUCGAAUGUGCCGCUGUCGGAUUAGCUAGCUGGCGGGGUAAGGGCCCACCAAGGCGACGAUCCGUAGCUGGUCUGAGAGGAUGAUCAGCCACACUGGAACUGAGACACGGUCCAGACUCCUACGGGCGGCAGCAGUGGGGAAUAUUGGACAGUGGGCGCAAGCCUGAUCCAGCCAUACCGCGUGGGUGAAGAAGGCCUUCGGGUUGUAAAGCCCUUUUGUUGGGAAAGCGGUACCCAAAGAAUAAGCACCGGCUAACUGCGUGCCAGCAGCCGCGGUAAUUC
rnacentral:rRNA from 1 species